rnacentral:rRNA from 1 species
CCUACGGGUGGCUGCAGUGAGGAAUAUUGGGCAAUGCCCGCAAGGGUGACCCAGCAACGCCGCGUGGAGGAUGAAGGUCGUAAGAUUGUAAACUCCUGUUAGAGGGGAAGAAUACCCGGGUUUGAAGCCCGGUUUGACUGUACCCUCAGAGAAAGCCCCGGCUAACUACGUGCCAGCAGCCGCGGUAAUACGUAGGGGGCAAGCGUUGUCCGGAUUUACUGGGUGUAAAGGGCGCGUAGACGUCCGCGUUGAAAUCCUGCAGCUUAACUGCAGAACUGCCUUUGAUACUGCGAGUCUUGAGUUCAGAAGAGAGAGAUGGAAUUCCAGGUGUAGUGGUGAAAUACGUAGAUAUCUGGAAGAACACCAGUUGCGAAGGCGAUCUCUUGGUCUGACACUGACGCUGAGGCGCGAAAGCGUGGGGAGCAAACAGGAUUAGAUACCCGUGUAGUC